CUCUCUCUCUCUCUAUCUCUCUCACUCCCUCCCUGAAGCGUAUAAAAGGGGAGUCUUCUGAAGGAGGGGCAUCACACUCCCACAGACCUCACCUGCCCUCACACGGUGCAAACCAACCCCAUCUCUUCAACAUGAAAUUCCAACUGGGUUUCCUCUUUGCCCUGGUGGCUGCCCUGUUCGCCGGAGUGCAGGCCGUCCCUCAGUACUACGGGGGAAGGGCUAGCAGCUACCUCCAGGGCCCCACCUACACCCCCCGGGGCCACUACGGCUAUGGCUAUUCUCUGGAAGUGAUCGGACCUCAUGGCUUCCCUGUCAGUCUGGAGUAUGGCUAUGGAAAAUAAGUUGAACGGAUAUGAAGAAGAAGAAGAA